rnacentral:rRNA from 6 species
CCGAUUGAACGACCGCAGUGAGGUCUUCGGACUGGACGCGCGUUAUUCGGCCCCCUCGGGGGCUGGGUCGUCGCGCGACCGGGAAGAUGACCGAACUCGGCCGUUUAGAGGAAGUAAAAGUCGUAACAAGGUUUCCGUAGGUGAACCUGCGGAAGGAUC